rfam:Triticum aestivum genome assembly, contig: Triticum_aestivum_CS42_TGACv1_scaffold_641773_T_1DL-0.211320_1AS-0.149073
UAACUACUCCCUCCGUCCGGAAAAAACUUGUCCCAAGCUUGUUCCUCAAAUGGAUGUAUCUAGCCCUAAUUUGGUGCUUGAUACAUCCAUUUGAGGGACAAGUUUAUCCUGGCGGAGGGAGUAUAAC